CAGUAGCCGCGGUAAUACGUAGGGGGCAAGCGUUGUCCGGAAUUAUUGGGCGUAAAGCGCGCGCAGGCGGUCAUUUAAGUCUGGUGUUUAAUCACGGGGCUCAACCCCGGAUCGCACUGGAAACUGGGUGACUUGAGUGCAGAAGAGGAGAGUGGAAUUCCACGUGUAGCGGUGAAAUGCGUAGAUAUGUGGAGGAACACCAGUGGCGAAGGCGACUCUCUGGGCUGUAACUGACGCUGAGGCGCGAAAGCGUGGGGAGCAAACAGGAUUAGAUACCCCCGUAGUCCCUGUCUCUUAUACA
rnacentral:rRNA from 1 species